UACGGGGGGGGCAAGCGUUGUUCGGAUUUACUGGGCGUAAAGGGCGCGUAGGCGGCCACGGCAAGUCAGUUGUGAAAUCUCUGGGCUUAACUCAGAACGGUCAACUGAUACUGUCGGGCUAGAGUGCAGAAGGGGCAACUGGAAUUCUCGGUGUAGCGGUGAAAUGCGUAGAUAUCGAGAGGAACACCUGCGGCGAAGGCGGGUUGCUGGGCUGACACUGACGCUGAGGCGCGAAAGCUAGGGGAGCAAACGGG
rnacentral:rRNA from 1 species